rnacentral:rRNA from 1 species
GACGAACGCUGGCGGCGUGCUUAACACAUGCAAGUCGAACGGAAAGGCCCUGCUUUUGUGGGGUGGUCGAAUGGCGAACGGGUGAGUAACACGUGAGUAACCUGCCCUGGACUUUGGGAUAACUUCAGGAAACUAGGGCUAAUAACGGAUAGGAGCUCCUGCUGCGUGGGGGGGAUUGUAAAAUUUAGGCGGGUGGGGAGGGACUCGCGGCUUAGCAUCUUGGUGGGGGGGUGGUGGCUUACCAAGGCGUUGACGGGUAGCCGGCCUGAGAGGGUGACCGGCCACCUUGGGAAUGAGAUACGGCCCCGUAUACCAACGGAGGCAGGAGUGGGGAAUCAUGCGCCAUGGGGGGAAGCCUGAUGCAGCAAAGCCGCGUGACGGAAGAAGGCCUUCGGGUUGUAAAACGGUUUCGACUGUGACGAAGCGUGAGUGACGGUAAUGGGUAAAGAAGGCCCGGCUAACUACGUG